CACCGCGGUUAUACGAGAGGCUCAAGUUGACAAACCCUCGGCGUAAAGAGUGGUUAGAAUCUCCCCCUUACUAAAGUCGAAUGCCCUCAUAGCUGUUAUACGCUCCCGAGGGUAAGAAGCCCAUCUACGAAAGUAACUUUACUCAUCUUGACCCCACGAAAGCUGUGAAA
rnacentral:rRNA from 1 species